GACGUAGGGCGCGAGCGUUGUCCGGAUUUAUUGGGCGUAAAGAGCUCGUGGGCGGCUUGUCGCGUCGGCUGUGAAAACCCGCGGCUCAACUGUGGGCGGGCAGCUGAUACGGGCAGGCUAGAGUUCGGUAGGGGAGACUGGAAUUCCUGGUGUAGCGGUGAAAUGCGCAGAUAUCAGGAGGAACACCGGUGGCGAAGGCGGGUCUCUGGGCCGAUACUGACGCUGAGGAGCGAAAGCGUGGGGAGCGAACAGG
rnacentral:rRNA from 1 species